rnacentral:lncRNA from 1 species
UUCUAUUUCAAACUUGCAAGAUAAUUCUUACAAUUAUUUUUUCUAUAUCCUAACUUGCCACAAUGAUAAUAGGUAAUAUCUAUGGGGACAUCCUUUACCUUCCUUUUAUUAUUGACCGAACCAGGAUCAAGAUUAUCUAGAACAUCGGAGAUCUUCUCCUAUGUAAAUCUAAUUUGCAUGUUCCUCAACCAGUCCGCAC